rnacentral:rRNA from 1 species
AGUUUGAUCCUGGCUCAGGACGAACGCUGGCGGCGUGCCUAAUACAUGCAAGUCGAACGAACUCUGGUAUUGAUUGGUGCUUGCAUCAUGAUUUACAUUUGAGUGAGUGGCGAACUGGUGAGUAACACGUGGGAAACCUGCCCAGAAGCGGGGGAUAACACCUGGAAACAGAUGCUAAUACCGCAUAACAACUUGGACCGCAUGGCCCGAGCUUGAAAGAUGGCUUUGGCUAUCACUUUUGGAUGGUCCCGCGGCGUAUUAGCUAGAUGGUGGGGUAACGGCUCACCAUGGCAAUGAUACGUAGCCGACCUGAGAGGGUAAUCGGCCACAUUGGGACUGAGACACGGCCCAAACUCCUACGGGAGGCAGCAGUAGGGAAUCUUCCACAAUGGACGAAAGUCUGAUGGAGCAACGCCGCGUGAGUGAAGAAGGGUUUCGGCUCGUAAAACUCUGCUGUUAAAGAAGAACAUAUCUGAAAGUAACUGUUCAGGUAUUGACGGUAUUUAACCAGAAAGCCACGGCUAACUACGUGCCAGCAGCCGCGGUAAUACGUAGGUGGCAAGCGUUGUCCGGAUUUAUUGGGCGUAAAGCGAGCGCAGGCGGUUUUUUAAGUCUGAUGUGAAAGCCUUCGGCUCAACCGAAGAAGUGCAUCGGAAACUGGGAAACUUGAGUGCAGAAGAGGACAGUGGAACUCCAUGUGUAGCGGUGAAAUGCGUAGAUAUAUGGA